GUCGCCUCAGUCUAUGUUGCGUAUGAGGCCGAUGAUGACGCAGCUGUUUUUCGCUCCUCCCCUCAAUAUAUUCUUGUGCUAAUGUUUCUUCUCUGAAACACAUUUUUGACGCUAAGAGAAUGUGAUUAACAUGAUGACAGUUGAUUGUGUUAGUUAUGUUAAAACUGUAUCGGUUAAUGUGUUUUUUUAAUUAUUCAAACCGAUAUAUCGUGUCGUGAUCGUGAUGCUAACUGUUUAGCAUUAUAUGUACUAGUGUGUAGCAGUGAGGGAGAAGCUGACGCCCCGUGUCUCAGCUGUUUAUGUCCUUUUCUUACAGUUGAACAUGCCAUCACUGUGUUUACUGCCCUGCCACUGCUCUUCCCAUCUGGCUCUGCAGCGCCCAAGAAACUGGUCCCAAUCAGUGAGGCUUUUUUCCACGUUCUCACGCUGAUGGACAUGAACACACUAGAGGCCACAUCCUCUCUGGCACAAGUGCUUUUGUUGGGCAAUAACAUCGGCCACAUUGCUAGUGA